UAGGGAAUCUUCCACAAUGGACGCAAGUCUGAUGGAGCAACGCCGCGUGAGUGAAGAAGGUUUUCGGAUCGUAAAGCUCUGUUGUUGGUGAAGAAGGAUAGAGGCAGUAACUGGUCUUUAUUUGACGGUAAUCAACCAGAAAGUCACGGCUAACUACGUGCCAGCAGCCGCGGUAAUACGUAGGUGGCAAGCGUUGUCCGGAUUUAUUGGGCGUAAAGCGAGCGCAGGCGGAAUGAUAAGUCUGAUGUGAAAGCCCACGGCUCAACCGUGGAACUGCAUCGGAAACUGUCAUUCUGGAGUGCAGAAGAGGAGAGUGGAAUUCCAUGUGUAGCGGUGGAAUGCGUAGAUAUAUGGAAGAACACCAGUGGCGAAGGCGGCUCUCUGGUCUGCAACUGACGCUGAGGCUCGAAAGCAUGGGUAGCGAACAGG
rnacentral:rRNA from 1 species